rnacentral:rRNA from 1 species
CCUACGGGAGGCAGCAGUGGGGAAUAUUGGACAAUGGGCGAAAGCCUGAUCCAGCAAUGCCGCGUGGGUGAAGAAGGCUUGAGGGUUGUAAAGCCCUUUCAGCAGGGAGGAAAAGCAUUCGGUUAAUACCCGGGUGUCUUGACGUUACCUGCAGAAGAAGCACCGGCUAACUCCGUGCCAGCAGCCGCG